AACGUAGGUCACAAGCGUUGUCCGGAAUUACUGGGUGUAAAGGGAGCGCAGGCGGGAAGACAAGUUGGAAGUGAAAUCUAUGGGCUCAACCCAUAAACUGCUUUCAAAACUGUUUUUCUUGAGUAGUGCAGAGGUAGGCGGAAUUCCCGGUGUAGCGGUGGAAUGCGUAGAUAUCGGGAGGAACACCAGUGGCGAAGGCGGCCUACUGGGCACCGACUGACGCUGAGGCUCGAAAGUGUGGGUAGCAAACAGG
rnacentral:rRNA from 1 species